UAAUCAUUCUUCUAUUGUUUC
rnacentral:piRNA from 1 species